UGUGAUCUUAUUUCUGUUCCUGAAAAGUUGUUUUCAGUGUAUUUUCUCCUUGAAAUCGAUCACUUCAGGUACUAUUACUGUGCAUACUUAGCUAAAUUAGUGUCUAGUUUCGUCUCUGAUGACAUUUAUUUCGUAAAAAUCGCUGUUUUUUUCUAAAAAGGUGUUUUUGUGGUCAUUUUGGCUGUUUAUUUCGAGGGUACGGUAGGAGGUCAUCGUUCACUCGAUAACUCUUUUUAAAAUGAAAUAAAAGCGUUUUAAGAUACAUGAUAUGAAUUGAUAUUAAUAUUCGUUAAGUGGGAUUGUCGGUGGACGUUCAUUGUUGAACAGUUGUGCUGGAAUUACGAAAAUAUAUCGAUAUCGUUGAGAGUUCAUUCAUUAGGGGCCUGCUCUCAAUUUUCCUUAAUGCCUCUAGCACUGGGCAAUUGCCACCAUCUUGAAAAGCAGUGCCGCGGAUGGCUAUCGCAUCGCCACUACGCAUGAGAACACGAUGGCUGCCCUGCGCUGCAUUGAUAGUUCGUAAUAAAUUCACAUAAAAACACACCAGAAGAUCUCCGAUUUUAUUUACAAAGAUCAUAUUUUGUUAUUUAUUGAUAAAACAAGCCAUUUUACCACAGCAGGUGACACAUAUUAGGCCUGAAUAAGACUUUAGAAUUUGAAGUGGUGGUGACGAUGCCGAUAUCCAAGAUGGCGGAAUUAUACCAGUGGUCAAAUCUCAUCUAGUUUGGGUAAUUGCAUCAUUAUUUCUUUUUGUGAUUGGUGAUUUGUAAAAUUGAGAAUGAUUGAAAAAUCUGUAUUUUUUCACCCAAAGGCAUGAGUGAACAUUUGAUAAGUUUAUUGUGAUUUAAUUGGUAAUUUGGUCGACAUUUUGACAAUUAUAUUUAGCAAUAUUUCGAUAAAUGCGGACCUGCUUCUUCCUCUUUUCGCAGUAACGGUGUUUCGAUAACUCAGGUCAGUUUCACGGCAAAAAUAAGUGGUAGUUUUGAAAUUCGAAUGUGCAUUUAUUAAUGUAACGAUAAAGUACAUUUCCGAGAAUAAUUAGUGAAAGUUUCAUUAGACUUCGAGAUCUACAUUUUCGACAAAGGCCUGGUGUAAUAUUACAUACUUGAUGAAGGUUUAAUGACACGAAUGAGUACAAGUACAUUACAUUUUUCGACGAAGGCCUUCUGUAAUUUCAUACACUUCUUACGCAACAUUCAAUAGAUUUAUUUACUGUAUUAUCAUUUCGACCAAGGCGAAUUCGACACUUCAGUUACACAAGGUUAGUAACUUUUGUUCACAAAAUCCAAAUGGAGGCAAAUACAGAACAAUCAAACUUAGUCAUUCCAGUCAGUUACUGAAGCACAGUGAAAACUGUCGGGAGCAAUGCAACUGAUGGCAUGUCAAA